UCGGUGAUAUGUUUAUGGGAUAAUUUCAUAAACUUCCCUUGAGGCUGUGUAACGGAUAAUUUUUAGAAAUCUCCCUUGGGUUUUUUUUUUUUAUAUCAAUUUCUUUUAGCUCUAUUGAAGUUUUAAAGAUUACACAUACAUCUUUUUUUAUUUAAAAUAACACUCUUAAAUAUUUUAAUGAUAUAUCUUUAAAAAUGGUAUUUUCUUGUUUGGUAUGCUUGUACUUGAGUUCUAAAAUUAUUUUUUCAUUUUUUUUAUUUUUAUUUUUUUAUCAAUAAAAUUGUAUAAUUAUUACUAUUACUUUUAAUUUUUAUUGUAACUAAAUGUCAAAUUAUUAAUUUUUUUGACGAGUUAAUUGUAUAUGUAAUCUGAGACGGACGAAGACGUGCAUUCCACUUGAUUGCUUCUUAGACGUUAAGGCCUGUCCGUACUAGUCUCAGAUCUAAAAGAAUACUAAAUUAUUCACUAUUUUUGUCAGACUGGAUGAAAGCGUGAUUACUGGCACGUGAUGACCAUUAAAUAAUGACAAGAUCGUCUACUACCGACCUAGGCUUUUCUUUUUGUUGGAUUAUUUUAACGGAUUAGAUGCCGGUUAAUAUAUUUAAAUUAUAAUUAAUUUACUAUGUAAAUGUACAUAAUUACAAUUAUUGCACAUUUUCCAUUUGAAUGCCUUUUCAAAUUAACUACACCUUUUUUUUUAAUAGAAAAUUUAAUACUUAAAUCUUCUAUUAAUGAGUGCUUAUUGGACAUGCGUUAAUCAAAUCAUAUUUUAUUUUGUGAAAACAAGAGGGUAAAUAACACUUGACCACAUUAUAUUGUAGGCUAGUUACCCUCAAAAAAAAAUUGCAGGCUAGUUUAAAAUAAUUACACUCAAAGAAUCUGCAAAAACUUUAAAAAACUGGUUGCUGUCUGCAAAUUUAAAAAAAAAAAAUUUGUUUUGUGCUGCCAAGCUGACAAGGCCCGGCAGCGUUUAAAAAAAAAAUUUACUACUACCGGGUAGUGUCAGACUUUAAAAAAAAAAAAAACCUCUUUUGCUGUCGGACUGACAUAGUUUUAUAUGUACUCAUUGUCAGAUCCAUACAUGUCCGACUUUUCUUUUUUUCAUCGAUAUUCUGAGUAAUUAGCCGGUUUUAGCAUUAUGAUGAAGUUGAACCACUAUUGUUGUUGUGACACAUAAUUUUGUUUCGAAACUUAAUAAGGAUACAAAGCACAUUAUAGCUUUAUUAUUAUCAUGAGAUUUCUGAUAUAUAUGCUAACCAUUUUAAAGCUCUAUCAUUAUCAUUAUCAUUGUCAUUGCUAUAUAAAAAGUAUGAACGCUUGGUAUUAGGGAGUUUUUGUUAUCUCUAAAUUACCCUCAUGUCUUGUAAUUAGAAUUAUUGCAUUUUAAUGUGGCACUAAUUAAAAGAAAUAAAACACUCCAAUUGAUUACAUUUUAAUAGUAUUGGUAAUUAUAAUUAAAAUUUUUUUAUUAAAAACUAUUUACCUACCCUUGGACUCCCAUCUCCUCUUAUUAUAUGUAUCAAAAUUUCUUAAUUGAAGCAUGAAAAAUUUCUCAUUAGUCAUUGGUUGAGAUUGUUAAAAAAAAUCAAUUUCAAAAAAUAGAUACUCUUUAAAAAAUGGAGAAACAUACAAGGACAAGAAAACCCUUAUUCAUCUGUAUAUCUUCAUACAAAUAUUACAAGUAAAUUUUAUAAUUAUGCACUUUUUACCAAUAUGAAAAAUUUUUCAUGUUGCACCCAAUGGAAUUUCAAUAUACAAAAAAUGAUGACACCUUUAUAACUGAAAUAACAGUAUUAAACUACAAAAAAAGAAAUCUAAAAUAGCACCAUACAAAACCACUAUUAUCAUUAAUAGCAACCGAUCAAAACAAGAAAAACUGGAAAAAAUUUGAAAACUAUUUAUAAAAUGACAUAAAGUAAAUAGAAAAUGAAUUAAAAAGCUAAAAUACAAUUCAAAUAAUACCAAAGACAACAUCCAAAUCACUGAUAUCUAGGGAAAGACAAACAUUGUUAUUAACAAUAAUAUAGUAGUGCUUCAUUUGUAUUGAUUUGAGCAAACCAAAUCCAUCCAUCAAGUCAGAAACCAUCUCCAAUGAUAAAAUAAGAAUUAUAAUAAGAGUAAAUAUAAAAUAAAGAAUGAUAAAAUGAAAAUGAUAUCCAUAUUGUUUUGGUGAUGUCCAAAAUACCCUUAUUUUUCUAAUGAUUACAUAUAUUUAUUGUAUUGCAAUAUUAGUGAAUAAUGGAAGCGGUUAUGAAAUGAAAAGCUUUAAAAUUAAGUAAAUUUCAUUUACGGUGACAAUUGUAAUUAGACAGAUUUAGUGCAUUCCAAUAAUUGAUAAAUAAUGAUAGCAGUUAUGGAUUAAAAGUUGGCAAUUAAAAACUAAAACACUGCAAUAUACAAAAACUCAAUAUUAAAAUUAUUAAUUAGCCACAAUUCUCAUUCCAAUUUCAUGAUCAUAAAAAAAAACUAAUAUUAGAACAAAAAAUAAUGUGCUCAUAUGAAAAAAGUAAACUUGUUGCUCUUUCUUCGCAUUGGAUUGUGCUAAAAACAUGAAUAAAAGAAAAGGAAAAUAGAAAAACUCCAACUAUCUCUAUCUAUAAAAUUUCAAUUGGUAGAAUGUACAAGUAAAAAAAUUUUACGUGGUGGAUCAUUUAUACUCCAUUAUUGACAAAAAUAAAAUUAACAUAAUACAAAGAAUUCAAAUUACAUGUAUGUUUAUUUUUCUAACUUAAUUAUAUUCUUCGUUUAUAAAAAAUUGUGAUGAUUGUGGUUUAUACGCAAUAGAAUCAUGAAUAUACAAUAAUUUUGGUAAAACAUGAUAUUAUUAAUAUUUGAUAUGUUAGAGUUCAAGCUAUAAAUCAAAAAGUAUUUGGUUCAUGAUUUCAAAUGCAAUCCUAGGGGAUAUGUCAAGUACAUUGGAAUGUUUUCUAUCUCUUUUCAUUUAAUAAAAUUUUUAAAAGUAACUAGCUUAAAAAAAUAAAUAACAUAAAAAUACUAUAUUAUGAUAUUGAUGAUCAAAAUUUCAUAAAAAAUUUUUAGUAACUAAAAAAUAAUAUAUUUUAAAAUAUUACAAUUACGUGCAAAGCAUGUGAACUGUUACUAGUUAUUAUAGGAUUCCUGAUAUAGGUGUGUGCGCGCAACGGUGGAGCCACAUUGAGUCUGAGUCUUGAGUGCAGGCAAUUGCUUCCCCUCAACUCUUGGAAAAUUACAAAAUGAAAAAGAAAACUUCCAAGUCUUUCAAUAUUUCUUUAGAACUGCCCCUCCUCCCCCCUUAACAUUUUCAACAUUGUUCCUUUCCGGCAAAUUGUCCCCCUAAAAAAUCUAAAACAACUUCAAAUGUUUAUUAUUUUGUAUUUUACGAUUCAUAAUCAUGUUACAAGAUUGUGAGUAAAAUCUAUCAAUUUUUAAACCAAAUUAUUCACAUAAUCAAUAUUUUAGUAUCACUUCAUUAUCAUAUUUUUCACUGUAAAAAAAAAGAAGAGAAGAAAACAACAUAUUUGUAUAACUGUGAUUGUAGUGCAUUACAAACAUAUUUUUUUGCCCCCCCUGAUCCCGGGUCUUGAUUCUGUCACUGUGUCUGAUAUAGUAGAGACAGGGGUCACCAAUCUGCUUGCUUAAUUUUCCAAUUACUGGUAGGUUACCAGGCAAGGAGGCUGUAACGGACCACUCAAGUCUACAACUUGGGAGGUAUGUCCUUUCAGCAUUUGCCAUCCAAAUUAAUCUGGUGAAUGAUUGAACAACUAGAGGCAAUAUCACGCAUUGACUACCAUAACACAGGUUAGACGAAAAACUUCUGAUUAUUGGUAAAUACAUUGAUGUUUGAAAUCAGACGACCUGUUAUAAUCAACAGCCAAACAAGAAUGUGCUAUCAAGACUCCAGAAUUUGUGAACAUAGCUCUAUACAGUAUUCAAAUAUUAAUUGCUGUAUAUCUUUGAUCUAUAAUAUCAGCAUACAUAUUUGUGCUGCAAAAGAAGAAGUUGGUAUUCAUUGAAAAUGGUCGAAGGAUAAAGUUCAAUGUGAAAUUCUGCAAAAAUACUACUGCUAUUUUUAUUCAACCAGCGCCACUGCUAUUUUCUCUGUCUUGAUAUACAAAACUUUCAUCACAAGUUUUUUUUUUCCAAUCAUAUUAUUUCAGCAUAAUUGCCACACGACAAGUGACAUGAAUCAAGUGUGAUUCAGAGUUAGGAAAUAAGCACAAAAUGCACUAGACUUCUUAGUUCACUCAGAGAAUGAAUAUAUAUAAAUAUAUACAUUGAUCCCUGUGAAAAUGUAGGGUAUUUCACUACUCAUCUGCAGUCCAGGGCCAAAAAAAAAAAGAGAAAAAAAGAAUGUAUCAAUCUCGAAGAAAUGCAGUCCCAGUUCUGCUGGUGCUAAUGGUCACCAUGGCAGGUUUCCUGGUGCAGGAAACCAAGGGGAGUCCUUGUGUAAGCACUUUCUUCUCUGCCCUUGUUCAGCUGAUUCCAUGUAGGGCAGCAGUUGCUCCAUUGAGUCCCUACCAACCAAACGAGGCUUGCUGUGUUGCCCUCAAAGCUCUAGGACAGCCCUGUUUAUGUGUACUUAUCAAUGGUCCUCCGAUUUCAGGGGUCGAUCGCAGCCUGGCCAUGCAGCUUCCUGAAAAAUGCGCUGCCAACUUUGAACCAUGUAACCUUUUUUAGAAUCCAUGAUCAUCUUUAUUCCAAUUGCUUCCAUAAAAUUAAAAUCAUGCCAAGCAAAUUCUAUCUUAUAGAUAAACUUUUGCUUCUUGUUUUUUUUUUUUUUUUGGUGGGACAAUGAAAUAAUAAAGGUUGAUAUAAUUUCCUUUGUGCAGGUGAGAUUUCAAAGUGAGAGUUCUCGCUAGAGGCCGGGAAGAAUAAACGUAGACACAAAUAAAUGGGGAUCAAGAAGGGUUUGUUUUCGUCUUGUAUCAUCUUAUUUCCAGGGUUAGUUUAGUUAGUCAAGGUAGGCUUUUUCAGUCAUUGAAGAAGUGUACUAAAUCAUAAAGGAUUAUCCUAGGUAUCUACAAAUAUUAGGCUUCUACAAGUCAUAUUUAUCAUAUGAAUUUCUACUUCUAAGUUCUUUAGCAAACUGCAAAGGAAAUUUCAUCAGCACCAUGCCAUUUUCCAAGUUUGUUUACAACGUAGUAACUCUUUUAUGUUUGCCUAAUUUCCAGCUUCUUGUUCAAUAAACUGAGUGGAGAAGAGGAUCAGCCAGUUGCAAAGCAAAAAUAGCACUAGUAAAAGAACUCUUACUGGUUUUGACCACCUAUAAUAUAUCUUCCUCCAAUUGUUUUAUGGGCUCUAACCAGCUCUUGCUUCUUGCCUCUAAUUUAGACCAGAAAACAUUUGUAGGCUCUUUUUCUUAACAACAGUAAACACAUACUUAUCAGCUUACAAGAACGUCAAGACUGUGCUCUAGGCUUGACAUAUCAUGGCAUCAUUGGACCUUUCGGUAUCCUUCAUGAGGUUGACUUGCUACCCAAUUUGCUCUUGAUACAAUUAUAACCAGCCCUAUUGCAACUUAAUUACAAGUGCAUGCUCAAUUAUUCCUAAGUUGGAGGAAAAAAAAAGGGUUUCUGACAUAAAAAUUUCUGCAGUUAGGGAAUGAGUCUGGGAUGAUGAGAUAACCCCUGAUAAAUAUAAUUUCUCAAUAAAAAAAAAGGGAUUUUGUAGGACUGAAUAAGGUAAUUAAUUUGGAGCUCAUUAAAUGAUGUGGAAUACUAUCCAAAGAAUAACAUGACCUAAGAGUUUAAAAUGCUCAACUUUUUUUGUUUUUUUGGUUGACUGCAUUCCUACCAUGGGAUAUAUUUAUUCAAUAAAAAAGUUUUCCCCCUGUACUCGUAUGAGGAAUGAAGGAACGAAGAGACUUCUAAGAAAUUUGACUUUUCGAACUGGCGAUCUAGUCAAAGUAAACGCCAGAGAAAUCAAGCUUAGCAAAACCUAUCAGCCAGCUGAAAAAUCAAAAGUGAAGUAGAUCCGAGGCAGACCACAGCCAAACAGAGAAUUCACCUACAGUGAAGGAAGAGAUUUUGUCUAUCCUACCUUGGCUCAGUUUGUAAUUUGCCAUAUUAUCUUUUGUGCGAGCCCAAAAUCCAAAAAAGCCACAACAACCUCUCUAAGUCAAGCAAUGGUUGAAGAACAGAGAUCACAACGUUAUACCAUUUUUCUUGCUAUCCUGCUUCUAUUUUCCUCAUCAAUAUCUCCGAGCGCCCAAAACGUGAAUGAUAAUUCAAUUGCCUAUCUUCCCGCUUCGUGGACCCAUCAGGACUAUGAUUCCAUGAUGACACCCAUCCUCCAGAGAGAAAGCGAUGGACCAAGUUAUGUGUGCGGCUUUUACUGUAACUCAGGAGAUGGUGAUGGUGGAUGCCUCUUUGGAGUCCUCAUUGCCCAAGGUCCGCUCAAUACUGGCGGAUAUCUGCGGUCCUCAGAAUUAGUCUGGUCUGCUAACAGGAAUAAUCUUGUUCAGAGUAAUGCAAAGUUGCAACUAAAAGAAGAUGGAGAUCUGGUCUUCGCAAACAUUGACGGCACCUUAAUAUGGUCCAGCAAUACGCGAGGAAAGUCUGUUUCAGGCUUAAACUUGACAGAAAUGGGAAACCUGGUGCUAUUUGGCCCAAACAAUGAAUCCAUUUGGCAGUCUUUUGAUCAUCCCACCGACUCACUACUGCUGGGACAAAAGCUGGCUCCCGGGCAGAAGCUGACAGCUAGUGUUUCCGCAUCCAAUUGGAGUGAAGGUCGGCUUUCUCUUGCUGUUGGCUCUGAUGGCUUGCCAGCUUAUAUAGAGUCUGAUCCACCUCAAAGAUACUAUGCGUCUGGCAUCAAUAGUUAUCCCUAUUAUGAGUUCAGGAACGGAAGGUUCAAUGACUUUACAAUUCCUCCAGCAUCAGUAGCUCAAUUCAUGAAGUUUGGGCCCGAGGGGCAUUUAAAAGUAUAUCACUGGGGAGCAGUGGGUGAAUUUGUAGAGGUUAUUGAUCUUUUGAACCCAUAUGUUGGUGAUUGUGGAUACCCUAUGGUGUGCGGCAAAUAUGGGGUCUGUUCAAAAGGGCAAUGCGGUUGUAUUGAAACAACCAAUGGCCAGGAGAGCUAUUUCAGCCAAAUAAUGUUCAGACAACCCGAUCUUGGAUGUUCACUAAUCACUCCAAUUUCUUGUGAUCACUCCCAAGAUCAUACUCUUCUAGAGCUAAAUAAUACAUCUUACUUUGCAUCUGAUUCAGGCUCAGACACCAUAAGGACAGUAAUGGAGGACUGCAAAAGUAAAUGUCUAAGUAGCUGUUCAUGCAAAGCAGCUGUGUUUUAUCAUGAUAGAUAUCUAUGGGAUACAGGCGAUUGCCGUGUGAUAAACGAAGUUUUUUCUAUUAUUAACGAUGAGAAUUAUAUCGGAGAUAAUACAACUCUUCUCGUUAAGGUGCAAAAUGCCAACAAGUCAAGGCGUAAAACAAUUAUACUGGCAUCAACAUCUGGGGCUUUCUUUGGUGUGGUAUGUUUAAUCGGCUCUUGCCUGGUCCUUUUCAGGAGGAUAUUCAACGAAGCAGAUGAAAUUGAGGGGGAUUUUCUGAACCAGGUACCAGGAAUGCCUAUAAGAUAUUCUUAUGAGAACUUGAAAGCAAUGACAGAAGAUUUCAAGAAAAGACUUGGGGAAGGAGGAUUCGGUUCCGUUUAUGAAGGGGCACUACAUAAUGGUACAAAGAUAGCAGUCAAGUGUCUUGAUGGUUUUGCUCAACUGAAGGACUCGUUUUUAGCGGAAGUGCAGAUAAUUGGUAGCAUCCACCAUGCUAACUUGAUAAAACUUACUGGUUUUUGUUUUGAGAAUUCUCACUGCCUUUUGGUUUACGAACAUAUGGCUAAUGGUUCUUUGGAUAGAUGGAUUUUUGGUGAAAUGCGAAGCUAUUCUCUUGCAUGGAGGACUAGGAGAAAAAUCAUCUCAGACAUUGCCAAGGGAUUAGCUUAUCUCCACGAAGAUUGCAGUCGGAGAGUAAUUCAUUUUGACAUCAAACCCCAAAACAUCCUUUUUGAUGAAAAUUUCAAUGCAAAAGUCGCUGAUUUUGGGUUGUCAAAGCUGAUUGACAAGGACCAAAGCAGAGUUGUUACAAGGAUGAGAGGAACACCAGGUUAUCUGGCUCCUGAAUGGUUGAGCUCCACUGUCACAGAAAAAGUGGACGUCUAUAGCUUUGGCAUUGUGAUGUUGGAAAUCCUUUGUGGACGAAAGAACUUUGAUUCCUCAAAGAUUGAGGAAGACAGGCAUUUGCUCAGUAUUUUCAAGAGAAAAGCUGAAGAAGAAAGACUUGAGGACAUGGUUGACAGGAAAAGUGGUGAUAUGCUGAUCCACGUUGAGGAAGCUGUGGAGAUGAUGAGGAUUGCUGCAUGGUGUCUGCAGGGAAAUUUCAACAACAGGCCUUCCAUGUCUUUAGUAGUCAAGGCACUGGAAGGUUUGGUAGUAGCUGAAACCAAUCUGGACUAUGACUUCACGAAUUCAUCCACAGUUAGGACAGAGGCAGCUGGUGAUCAAGGACAGGUAGCUGUUUAUGUUGGUAGUCCAAUAUUGCCAUCAACUUUAUCCGGGCCAAGGUAGAUGCAAAACUCACAAUUUUUACGUUCGGUAGUCUCUAAAAUCCCAACAAAUAAGGUUCAAGUCCCAGAAUUUGUAGUCUGAGAUUAUGUCAGUAUAUGUAUGUCUUGCCGCCCUGUAUUGCUGAAUUAUUCCACCCUGAGUGCGUUGGCUUUUUCCUGAGAAAUGCAAGUCCCUAUGCAUAAUAAUCAAUAAUCAUGAUCUUACAAUUCAUCUGCAAAAGGCAUUUCUUGUUUUGUUUUUGAGGGAAUAUCCAAAAGAUAUAUAGACAUCUGCAGGCCUCCCAAUCCCAAAAACAUCAACACAGUUAUGCGUUAUUACUAUGAGAUAAAACCAGUCUUAUAUGGAGUACAGAGAUCAUUUUGAUCUUUAAAGCAACAUGUGUUUCUGCAGUAAAUUGAUACGGUAGAUAUUCGUUUGUGUGUAUGUGCUCAAAAGUUACACAUCGGAGAGUUACUUCUCCGAUUGAUUUCAGAAAGAAUAGAGCAUUUUCAAACAAAAAAAAAAAAAAUGCGAGUGCUACAUUUUCAACGAGCAACAUAAAUCCAAGAGUCAAGACAGCAUAAAACGUUCUCAACUUUGCUGCUAUGAUCAUAGUUAUUAAACCCAACCCGGGAAGGAACCCGGCGAAGGGAGUGGGUCAACGGGUUACUGGUUCAACCGGUGGGUGAGUAGUUGAACCGGUGGGUCACUAAAUAUAUUUAAAUAUUAUAUUUCAUAAUUUUUUAUAUAAGAUAUAUGAUAUAAAUUGUAAUAAAUAAUGCCAUAGUAAAAGCUCAUUUAAUUUAAUUUGCUAUAAAAUAAUUAAUUCAUAUAAGAAUCAAUUAAAUAUAAAGUUAUUUAGUAAUACACCAAAUUUCAAGUGUAAAAUUUUAUCUAUAUUUAGUGUAAUAAUGUAGCUUAUUUAUGAAUUUUAAGUGUAAAAAUUAUUAAAUUAAUAUUUAUCUUUGAAAUGAAUUAUGUAAUGUGUUAUUUUUGAAAUUCAUUUUAUAAAUUAUAGAGUUUGGAGGGUACUAAUUUUUAUUAAAAGAUUUCAAAUAAAUUUAUUUUAGAGAAAAGAAAGAUAGAAUUGAAAAAACAUAUAUAUAUUAUAAUAAAGAUCUUUUAUUAACAAAUUUCGAAGUAGCCUAGUGGUAAGCUUUGAUUAUUGAUUGGUGGAGGUCCAAAGUUCGAGCUUUGAUUAUUGAUUGGUGGAGGUCCAAAGUUCGAGCUUUGACAAAGGCAAUAAAAUUUUUUCACAAAAAACGGGCCGGGAACGGUCCGUGGACAAACCCGGCCGGGUUUCCGGGUUAGCCCGGUCCGAUCGCCGGGCCGUUGACUAGUCAACGGUUUCGUAGCCCAAACGAUCUAAUUACCAAAAACGGGCCGGGAACGGUCCGUGGACAAACCCGGCCGGGUUUUCAGGUUAGCCCGGUCCGAUCGCCGGGCCGUUGACUAGUCAACGGUUCCGUAGUCCAAACGAUCUAAUUUAAGACUCGGCCCGGCCCAAUAGCCGGUUCACCGGUUCGAAUGCCGGGCCGGGCCGGGUUUAAUAACUAUGGCUAUGACUAUGACUCGGGCUCAAAGAUUCAAAGUCCUUAAAAAAGUGUAUACUACUCCCAUAACCACGAUGAACUGAUCAGUAAAAGAGUAACAGAUUAUUGAUUGUGUGUUAAAUUGGUGCGUUUACUGUCUCUCCAUUUCUUUCACCAGCUCCUAAAGCUAGGGGUGCAGACGAAUCGAGCGAUUCGAUUCAAGUUCGACUCGAGAUCGAUCAAUAUCGAGCUCGAGUUGGCCGAGUCAAACUCGAGCUUAAAAUAUUAAACUCGUUAGACUCGCGAGCUCAAGUGUGUGUGUGUGUGUGUAUAUAUAUAUUAUUUUUUGUUUUAAUCAUAAAAUUACAUAUAUAUCCUUAAUAUUUUAUUAUUGACUAAGAAAAAAUAUUAUUUUAUUUUUUUAAAAAAAUAAAAUAAUUAUUUUUAUUUUUUCGAGCUUGAACUUCAAAAUUGUCAGCUCGUUGAGCUCGAACUCAAGUUCGAAUUCGAUAAACUAAGUUAAGACUCGGCUUGAUUAGAUCAAAGUUCGACUCGACUCGAUUUGUUUGGAACCCUAUCUAAAGCAAAUUUCGGAAAAGGUACAUACAUGUCAUGUAAGUAAUUGGUAAUUUUGGCUCUCUGGCUUCUAGGAUUACAAAGAUUUAUUGAAUACUAUAAAUUCCACAAGUUAGAAAGAAAGCUUUAGUUGGUUCAUCAAUCCAUUAAGAAAAACAGGCUCAAUCCUUUUUACGGAAAAGUAGAAAUGAGGGAAAGAAAGCUAUACUGCUGAGGAGGCUCGUGCAACUGCUUGGUCAAAGGGAACAAUGAAACGAUCUAUAAGCCCUGGUAAUUACCCAAUAAGUUUUUUUUUUUUUUUUUUUUUGCGUGUAGAAAUGACAGAUUCGAUUAGGUCAACAAAUCCUGUCUAAUCAUUAUUAUUAUAAGUUAACCACAGCCAAGAAAUUUCCAAGCCACAUUGUAGUAAAAGUAAAAGUCAUGGACAAACUAAUUAGCAAUGCUGCCCACCACAUAAGGCUUGACUUGACAUUCUCUGCCCAUCUCGAAUGCAAGUCUAUUCUCACUGGCAUAAUCCCUCCUUACCUCCAUUUCUAACAUGUCAAAUUAAUCUGAGAACUCUAUACUGCCUUUCAAGCAACUCUCUUGGAAGGAAUUAGCAUUUUCGUUGGGAGAUCUCCACCCCCAUCACACACCAAAUUGAAUACCCCAGUUAAGAAGCUAGAAAUGGCAUUUGCCAAAACCAAUAUACUAACUAAAGUUCUGCUAAGCAAUGUCAUGACGUAAAUACGUACAAACACCUUGUAUAUAUAUAUAUAUAUAGAGAGAGAGAGAGAGAGAGAGAGAGAGAGCCUACCUUAGACACUGGGACUUGAAUUACCAGUGGUUUUCUUGGAUGUCAAUUCUGCUACAUCACAAAUAUGAAAGAAUGUCGAGAUGUCAGCAACUUGAAUUCAUCACCGCAUUUAAAGCAACACAUACCAUUACCAACUGUAACUAUAUAUUCCCUAAUAGCUUCAAAUUAUUAAUUUCAAUUCCUCAUGAGAAAAGGGAUGUUGGCUAUUGAGAAUGAAAUAUUAGGUACUAUAAUUUUUCCCAAGCAUCAACUCGACAUUAUAUGAAGGCAGUGGAUGGAAAAAUGAUAAGCGUUAGCAAACAACAUGGUCUAAGGGUUUGUUUGAUAACAUUAAAAAAUGAUGAAUCUGAAUUUUUUCAAACAUUCAGAUGUUUUGAGUAUUUGAUAAAUGAAAAUCCAUUUGCUGAACUUGUUAAAUAGUGCUGAACUUGUAUGUAUUUUUUUCAGCACAAGAAUCCUAACUGAAUGCUUAAUUCUGAUAAUAAUCAAUAGACUUACUUCACUUACCUUAUCUUAUCUACCAAAUCUACCCUUGUUUAUUAAUUAUAUUCAAAAUUCUUAUAUAAUUAAACAAUCUAAUAUUCUCUAUCUAAUGAUUUUCUAUUUCUCUUUUCUCCCUUUCGAAUGACUUUCACUUCUUUUCUAUACUCCUCAUAUAAUAUAAUUCAUCUUUUAUAUUAAUUUGAUUUAAAAAUAAAUAUUGUCAUUUUCAUACCUAAUUUUUAGCUAAUUAAAUCACAGGUUCUAUUUCUUUUUUGGGUGAAAAGAUAUAAGGGCACAAUUGUCAAAUUUAACUUAUUAAGCAUUCACUUAUAAAUAUUUAUCAAAUAGUAUAAAUAGGUUUAGCAUUAAAAUUCAGACAUUCAUAUAUUUAUUUUCAGUGCUUAAAAUUCAGCAAAUUAAUUGUCUCAGUAUUCAGAUUUCAGAAUUCAGACUUCAGAAUUCAGAUUCAAUUUUAUCAAACGGAACCUAAGGUAUCAUAGAAAUUCAGAGCAAAGUUCAUAAUUCUACCUAGCUAGGCAUUUAGUUCAAAUUUAACACUUGAUGUCAAAGGUUGACGAAUAUAUUUUUUAUGGGGGUUCAAUUCAAGUUCCAAUUUAUAUAGGAUGGAGGAUAUCUAUAAAAACCAGCUGACAUUUCAGUAUUUAUUUGGUAUAAUGGUAGUUUGCAAAUGAUUAUUGAAAUUCGGUUCCUGAAUUCUUAAUUAUCGGACAAAUCACUUAAUUUUAUAUGUUAAUGAUAUACUAUAUUUAUUAUAUACCUACUAAUCUACUUACGAAGAGCGUAAUAACUUAGAAAAAGAAAAAUAAUAACUUAUAACUCAUGCUGCUAUAAAAUUAAAUCCAUCAAAGAUUUUACGUAGAAUGGGAUCCCAUUCAUGUACCAUCAGAAAUAUUAGAAUGUUGGAUAAUUUCUUAUAUGGCAUAUGGUUUGUAAUCUUGUUAAUUAGACAUUAAGAAUAUGUAACUUUAGAAACACUUUAUUAGGAUAUCAACCAUGCACUUCUUUGAUUAUACGUCACACUAUACUUCUCCAAUCUACACCCGAAAAUCCUAUAUAAAACUCUGGAUAUUACCAAAUAUCUGGCUGAAAUAAAAUAACUGAAUUUCAAAUUACCAAAAUAAAGCUGAGACAGUAUUUGAAAAUAGGUUUCAUAGGGAAAAAAAAAAUCUCUACCAAAUUUAGAAUUACGGGUCGAUGAACCUCUCUAAUAUAUAUAUAUUUUUUGCACAAAACCACUACGUGCAUUAUCACUACUAUUAUUUUGUUUGGUAUGCUUUACUGUCUGAAGAACAAAAGAGAUUGUUCAACCAACAAUAAAAUAAAGCAAGGUAGGCCAGAAAAACUCAAGACCAUAGAGCUUCAGGACAGGCUAGAUACUAAGGUAUAGCAGUUUCAUGCAUCAAAGAGAUUUUAGUUUGCAAGAAAUUAAUUGGUCCUGGUUUGUUUAUCAGUUCGAAAUGUUUGCUGAAUUACAUAUUUUCUUAUAAAGUCGUGUAUGAUAUUGUGUUCCAAUUGCGAGACAAGUUAGUUACUCGACCAAAAGCCAAAAAAAAUUGGCAUGGCUCCUUAAGCAACAAGGGAAAGCAUGUGCACAAUCAGAGUUUCGUAGCUUAAUACUAUAAAUUUUGUAAUACUAUUUUAUAAUCUUACUUCCAUUGUGAACUCUAUAAUACAAAUGCAAAUGCCAAAAUAAAAUACUCUAAAAUAAAAAAAUCUUAUUACAAAAAUGAUCAAAGUAAAUACCAUCUAACCACGUACAGCACACUACAAUAUUUUUCCAGUAAUAUUACAUGUGCUUUGCACGUGAUUAUAUUUUUCUAAUUUUUUUAUAUUUUUUGUACUAAAGUUUUUAUAAAAUGUUGAUUGUUAAUACCAUAAUAUUUUUCCUUUCUGUUAAUUAUAGAGUACAUUACAUGUCUGUGUACAAAGAAAGUGUGGUAAGUUAUGAUAUAGUAUUUGUUGUCAACAUAUAUUUCUAUAUUUAGUUCUCAAGAAUAAUAAUCAAAGGUGUAACUAAUUUUGUAUAGUUUUCAAAAUAUAUACACAAUCCCCUAUGGUUAAUAUAUAAUUUCAACUUUACAUAGUGGUAUUUUUGACAUUUUAGUUGACUCCAUUAUAGAAUGCAAAUUCUGUCACUUUAACAUUUUAGUCCAAAUUAUGAGGAGGUUAUGCAAAACUUUUGAAAUCACAGAAGGGUUAUACAGAACAAAGCUAAACCAUAGGGGGUAAAGUAAAAUUUACCCUUAAUAUAAUGCUCCUAUCUAAACUGUCAAUUAAUUUCUAUAAUUCCUACAACUUCUCGAUGUGAAUAUGGGGACAAUAAAGUGGUGGUGUUAAUCAUUAAUUGAGUCAUUCAUGCAAUAUAAAAUGGCUUAAAUUAAGAUUUGGUGAAGAAUAAAAUUAAAAAAAAAAAAACUUUUUCAAGUUGCAUGAGCAAGAAGAACCAAUUAUGAAAAGGGAAAAUAUUAUUGGAUUGGCAUUGAAAGUUGGUUAUGUUGGUAAAGCAAAAGAAGGUAUAGAUUCAUAACUUCAACUUACAUACACUUGAGAGUGCUCCUAAAGAAUGUUAAGAUCUUUUCUUAAUCUUGCUUAAGUUUUUUAUGAAAAUAUACAGAGCAUAGGCUUAAGAAAUUUUUUAACUCUUGCAUUGAUUUUAAAUGUCACAACUUCCAAUUGAUUCGAUCUGGAGUUGGAAGAAGGACUUAGUCCAUGAUCUCUUUCACAAUGGCUACAUAUGAGCAUGUUUUAACAAAUAUUUCGUUAAGUUUGAUUUCAUGCAUUGGUUUGAUAAAUCAUAACAAGAUUUUCUCUUAUUACUAUGGCAGCUCUAGUAAUAUAGUAAAAUAUACAUUAAUUUAGUUAACCUUCCAUCUUUAGAUUUUUUGUACGCUAGAAUAUAGUAUAAAUUUUUUGUUUUUAAUAUGCAAUAAACAUUUUGUAUAACCGGCAAUUACUUCAUUUGUAUUACGUUAAGAAUCAAAAUUUUGAGAGAAAUUUGGUACAUAAAAAAUGUUAUAUCUCGAGAAAAUGUAUUUUUGAGCACGUGAUUAUGAUCAUAACAAAUCAAUCAUUAAAAUUGUAAAUGAUAUGCAAUAUCUUUAGUAGUAUUGUAUAUAAAUUAUUAUCAUAGUUUAUUUCUGCACAUAUUUGCAUAGUUAGUUGAUUGAUAUCAUAGUAUUACAAUAUUUAUCAUUGAUAGUAUAAUUAAUGAUAGCAUUCUUUUUUAAUAUAAUUAUUUAUGUUAUUGUUUAAACUAUCUUAUUUUAUUGAUAAUAUUAUUUAAGACAUAUUCAUAAUAUAUUAUUCAUCAUUAAGAUAUUUCUUAUUUUAGUAGUAUUGUUUCAUAUUUAUAUAAAGCAUAUACAACUACGCAAAUUGCUCAUGGUCUUAUUAUAAAGAUUUUUCAUGGCAAUAAAGUGUUUUUUCUUUCUUGCAUGCUGUUUGUUUUGCCCUAGAGCAUGUAUACUUUGGUUGGCUAUUUAAUAUUUUACCAUUGUUUUGAGCAAGAAAUUUUAAGCACAAGAAAUAAUUGGAGAUGAAGUGUAAGGUCGGUAAAUAGUUUUCAACGAGAGAAAUUUUCUUCUUAAUCUUAAUUACUAACAUUAUUGAAACAAUUGGUAACAUUUCAGCUUUUAUUCUAAUUAUAAACAUUAUUGAGUCAAUUGGUAAACUUUCAUUCAUUUUAUUAUUUUUUUCAUUCAUUUUAUUACUACCUUCCUUCCUGCUUUUUGUAAAUGGCAAAUUAAGCCACUUUCAAAAACCUAACUUGGAGUAAUUUUGAAAGUUCGUUUGAAGCGGGUUCAUUGAGAUAUGUUGAAAGGGACUUGACUUGAACUAUGAUGAUGUGUUACUGGAUAACUUUCUUGAAUGGAGUUGUUGGUCGUGCUAGUUACUUGCCGAUAUGAACUAAUUUUUUGAUAUGUAGAAAGCCUUUGGUUAUUUGGUAGAAGAUUAUUUCUGCAUGGCUUUGUUAGGUGUUGAGAUGGUCUUAACUUCAUUCUUUUGUAAUUGAUACAAAAUAUUGCAAGUAGAAUAGGGUUCGAAUUAGGAUAAUGAGAUAGUAUUGAUACCGAAUUUAGAGAGUAGAAUAAGAUUCGAAACAAAAUAUUGAGACAAAAGAUCCUAAGCGAAUGAAGAUGCGAGAAAAGCAUCAAUUUGAAGGAAAGGAAGAAAAUUAGAAAAUGUAUGAGAGGGACAUGUUACACGACACAUGAUUCAAGAUGCUAUUUCAGCUAAAAUAAACCUCAACACUUAAUGUUAAACUCCCUUUUCCGAUAAUAAGAAGCAGUCCCACACGACUGAGAUUUGGCUAUAUUCACCGGAAUAUGAUUUGCAUGUUUUUAAGGUUUUCAAGAUUAUAUGACAUCAAUAAUCAUCAGUAGCACUGUUGACUAUUACCAACUACUCUCGAAUCCCUUGGCCUGCAUUUUAAAAAUUUAGGGCUUUCUGAAAUGUUUCGCAAGCAUGUGCGUUGGCAUCCGUUUAAACCAAUGGUGGUUCAGUUCCCCUCCUUGGUACCAUUGGGUCACCCCCCUUCCCAUAGCAUAGAGUAGUAAUAUGUCUAUCGUGUCCCAAAAAAAAAAAAGACUCAAUACUCUUGACUAUAUAUGAUCAAUGGCGGAGCCAAUGGGACUGAGGGCCGAGGUAGGCCUGUCAACGGGUUGAAAUUCAUUAUUUCAGGCCCGGACUCGACAUACUAUAUCGGAUCCGGAUUCAACCCAUUUAUCCGACGGGUCUUCUAUUCUAUAUUCCGAAUCCGACGGGUCUCGGAUCCGAGUCAUGUCUACCUGAAAAAAUCUAUCAAAGCUUACAAUUUCUAACAAAAAUGAGAAAAAAAUAUAUUUGUAAACUAAUUACUAACUAAUACAAAAAAAAAACUAAAUAAGAAAAGAAAUCAAAUUGACCUUACUCAAAUACAUCACCCUAAUCAAAUUAUAUUAAUAAAUAUAUAUUUUAAAUUAUUAAUCCAUUUAUAUUUGGAUCCGGGUCGAAUACAUAUCAGAGUAUAUAUUCCGUAUCCGACCCGUAUUUUUGUUUGACAAAACAAAUUCGGAUCCGAGUAACGGAAUUAAAUCCCUACCCGUUCCCGUAAUAAUUUGACGGAUCCGGAUCCGGAUCCGGAUCCGGGUCCGGGGGUCUACGCCGAGGGAGGCAGCCAGCCGUUCCCCAAGUCCUAAUAUUUCCUUUAGGCCUCUAGAAAAUUUUGGAGUUUCUAUUGAAAGUCUUUAUUUUCACCCCCAAAAUUUUGAUGAAAUUUCAUUUCUCCCCUCUACCUAGCUUUUGUUUUAUUAAAAAAAAAAAAUUAAUGGGACUUUUACUUGACAAGCUAGGACGAUUGAUAGUACGGGCGGGGUACGUUCCACGGUAAUAAAUAUUUCAGAGAUGCAUAUUACAAUUAAUUAAGCCUUUUCUGUAUUCUUGGUCAAAAUGUCACUUGUGUUUGUAUUGAUAUCAGAUAUUCUUUACAGAUCAUUUACAAAAAAGAAAAUUAAGCCUAUUUUUAUUUGGUACAAAAUACUACCUAUUUUGAAAUGGUUUUUAAAAGAGAAUCUAAAACGAAAGAGGAAGAUGCACCCCCAUUAUUGCUGGCGGAAGAUAGCCCUGUUGAUCUUUAUGAUGUUAGCCAUAUGGAUGGAUUCAACGUUCCUAUUUCACAGCUGGAUUGUCCAACAGUAAUGUGCCCCUACAACAGCCCUGGAAUCAAAUAUGUUCACGAGAAUUGGAAGUUUGCAUGUAAAAGUGCAUGCCAUGCUUUUGGUAAACCUGAAUAUUUGUUGGAGAGUACACCAGCCCUGGAAAGUGCAAGCCUACAGAAAAUAUUCUCAAGUGUUCAAAGACUAGUGCUUAAAGCUUUUUUUUUUUUUUUUUAUGAUGAUCCACCAACUACUUUUACGUGCAAUGGAGCUGAUUUCGCCAUUAUUUUUUGCUGAAAAAGAUUUGGAAGUCCAAAAAUUUAUCUUUCACUUACACGAGGAUCCUCUGUUCAUUAUAUCUGUCUAUUAAUAAGUAGAACUAUAUAAUUUUACAUUGAACAGAAAAAAUAGACAGACAUAAUGGACAAAGGAUCCCAUCUGAUGAUUCCGUGGUCCUCAUGGACAGCACUUGGAAAGUACCAGCUCUGCAAUUACCCAAUUCAUCUGUGGCACAUUUCGCUUGCUUCAAUAACGAUCACAAGCACACUCACCUACCAAAAAAGUUGUAGCAAAUUCUGACUAAUAUUCUAGUAAGUUAAAUAAUUAGUUCGAGAUCUAAGGGCAAUUUUGCAGUUAAUAACAUGUAAAGAUUGUCUUCUUGUGCUGCGGGAUUCUUCUGAUUGUUCUACAACUAUAUAUUCCUAUAAAUAUGGCUCUGUUUACUCGGUCAUCAUUUUAUCACAGCAAGAUGAGCUACAACAAUUCAGCAUUUUAUUCUGCAUGAGAACUAAAGGGCAUGAUGCACAAGCUGUACAGUUUAACGAGUUUGUCGAUUUUCCCUUCCUCUCGUGACUCAACAGUUUCACUGAAUUCAAUCAGCCAAGUAGUUAACCCUUUUUCUUUAUAAAUAGGGCUCCUGAUUCUUUUUUAAUCAUGUCUUCUCCGGCUUUAUUUUCUUCACCACUCUUGUAACACUCAUGGCUUUAGGGCGCCUCUGCUUUGUCCUACUCUUCUCCUAUUUAGGUAAUUUACCGGUUCGACUCCACAGCCAUUUCAUUUUUUUUUUGAAUUGAUGUUAAAAGAAACUCUCUCUAUCCUGAUCCUUUUUUUUUUUUUUUUUGGAUUUUUGUACUCUUCCAGGAGCUGAUGCAAAAUUAUUUACUUUCAGAAAUGAUUGUGAGGUCACACUAUGGCCAGGGAUCUUAGCAAAUGCAGGAAAACCCCAGCUAGCCAACGGUGGUUUCCGCCUACCUCCACAUUCUGCUGCAACCAUCUUUGCACCUACUGGAUGGGCCGGCCGCUUCUGGGCACGUAGCCAAUGCACCUUUGACGAAACCGGCAACGGAAAGUGCGCCACCGGUGACUGCGGCGGAGCCUUACGAUGUAACGGCGCGGGUGGUGUACCGCCAGCAACGCUUGCUGAGUUCAGCCUUGAUAACCCCAAGGAUUUCUAUGACAUUAGCCUUGUGGAUGGAUUCAACAUCCCGAUCUCUAUAGUCCCUUCUCUGACAAAUUGUUCCGGGGCAGAAUGUACUGCAGACUUGAACAGGCAAUGUCGACCAGAACUGCAAGUUACAUCAGAUGGGAAGGUGGUUGCAUGCAAAAGUGCAUGCCUUGCUUUUGGUAAACCUGAAUUCUGUUGUGCAGGAAGCUACAGUAACCCAAAUACGUGCAAGCCUUCAGUGUAUUCUAAAGAGUUCAAAGCUGCCUGCCCAACAGCUUAUUCCUAUGCUUUUGAUGAUCCAACCAGUACUUUUACCUGCCAAGGAGCUGAUUACUCUAUAAUUUUCUGCUGAUUACAAGGGGAAAGGUGAUGGAAAUUACUGCAGCAACGCUAUCACCCUUCUGAAAAGAAACACAUAUAUCAUAACAGGAAAGGAAAUCAUGGUCACAGGUGACUCGAGAAGAUUGAUAAAUUUUAUUUACCUUUUCAUCCAUUAAGUGGGUUUAUUUGAUGCAUGUCGCCCAUAAUUAUUAUAGAGGAUCAGUAAGUUUCGCACAAAAUUUUACCUUAAUCAUUGCAAGGACAACAUAACGAUAUUUCUUAUACUGAUCAUUUGACGUUUGGUAGGAGUAUUACUUGUUCUGAACUUGCUCUGAAUCAAAUUGAUUACCAGGAUAAUUUGUAUGUCCAAAUUUUUAUCGACAAGACGGUCUGCUUACUUCGUACAAAUAAGCACCAUCAUAGAGUAUUGAUGGAGAUUAUGUUUUCCCAGAAAAAAAGAUAGAGCCUGCAGUCUUUAGAAAGCACCAUAUUUGUGAAAUGCAUUAAACUAGCAUACUUAUGCCCGACAACAGAGUUUUCAAAUAAGCCCGGAACAUACAGGAAAAAUUAAUGCACAGACUCUGGUAGAAAGCUGCUCAUACAAUCGCCCACCACGAACAGCAUUGUCAACAUAGGUCACAAGGACGUAUUUAUUAUACAGCAAGCAGAGAUGAAUGCAUUUGUACUUGAUUUAAGCUUCAGUUCACUCAAAAUAACAAGUGUUGCGCUCUAAAUUUGAGGUGAGGACUCUUCUCGGCUUCACUUUUUUGCAAGACCCGAAAGCAUCAAGGUUUAUUUAGAAUAUCCGAGCAACACCAACACUAUUAGAUGACAACGAGUUCUGGAAAAUGAGGGGAAAACUGACCUCUCAUAUAGUGGGAUCUGUAAUUCACUCAGCAGCAUCUCCUUGGAAGAAUUACCUGUUGAGAUUUUUCAAAAAGACGUGCGCUUAAUCCUAGCAUGCACUACAGAGAGAUGUAUAUGGUGUGUGUUUGUAUGUGUCUAGACAGUUAGACGGAAUCCUUGCUUCAUAGUGUAAAGAGAUAUAUUUCCCAUGAAAGGGUUCUCUCAUGAAGAUCCACAACAGCUGUACUUUGUUCCCCCUGGUACAGGCUCCUGGCUAGGGACAACUAUCUUGGUUCCCGUGAGAAGAGCUGAUUUUCCUUCUGAUUCUGCUUCCUCAUUUGCGACAAGCGAUUUCUUGCUGACAAUUCGAUAUAUCUCUGUUAGAACUGUAAUGAAUGCAGGUUCGACGUUAGUUGCUUCCAGUGCUGAGGUUUCCAUGAAGUAUAAGUUUUCCUUCUGGGCAAACUCUUUAGCAUCGUCAGUGGAUACAUCACGAAGACUCUCAAGGUCAGUCUUGUUGCCUACAAGCAUGAUAACGAUAUUUUUAUCAGCAUGGCCCCGCAGUUCCUCUAACCACCUAGCAACAUGAUCAAAUGAUUGACGCUUGGUAAUGUCGUAAACCAGCAUAGCCCCCACUGCACCUCUAUAAUAUGCACUUGUUACUGCACGAUAUCUGAGGUAACCAUAAGGAACAAUUGAUCAAAUUGACUGACUAAUCAGAUGUAACAUAAAAUGAGGUGAAAAGAAUAUAGGGGUUAGGGAGAAGAAACUGAAGUCCAUCAGUAAAGUAGCGAACUUCUAGAUCUAUUUAAUGCAUUGAGAGAUAUAAGUCAAAACAGGAAUUAAAGAAAAAUAUAAAAAUCUAGUAACAAUUUUAUAUGACUUGACAAAUUGGUCCUCAAGAGAUCUUGAGUCUGAUGUCUCUGGCCGCCAGGGAUCUUAGAAAACGGAUUCAAUCACAAAUAUCAAAAUUUAACAAAACUAACAAAGACAUAAAAUCAUUGAAUGUGCACACGGUAGUUUAAAUCAAAAUAUGAAGCCUCAACAGAUCCUGCAUAUUGAACCACUUCUUUUCCAUUGCCCAAACUUCCCAACCCCACCAUAUCCUUGUGCUUAUUACCAUGAAAGAAGAUACUCAAACCUUAACAAGGCAAAGCUCAAUGGAUAGCAUUACUGCAAGACAACAAUAAGAGGCACCAAUCAACUUUUAUUUCCGUACCUCAGCAACAAUUAUAUGUUGCUCAGUUGCUUUGGUGCACUCUCACAUACACAUACACAACGGACAAAUCUUUUUUAAAUUUUGGGCCACUUGGCAAAUAUAAAAUCUAAUAUCAACUUUUCUUCAAUAUCCAAUCCUACAGCAGCUAGCUGCUAUCCAUUUCAAUUUGGAACUUUUAGAUAAAUCACAUAGUUAACAGUUCAAUAAUUUCUUUCACUUACACUGUGGAUACAAAAACUCUUUUGCAUCAGAACCUUAUCUUGAUGUGAUAAAAUCAGUAUAUCAUGCAGCAACUCCUUCUAAGAAGUUAACCAUCAAGGUUCAAAGUCAGGUAAAUCACAACUUAAUAAGAUACAAUGAUGGAUACCAGGAGAUUUAUUUGCAAUCAUUGCAGAAUAUUACUGAACAGUGUGAAUCCCAAAGACUAUGAACUGUGUGAAUCCAGCAAUUUAACAAUAAAAGAAUAAGGGGUUAUUUAUCAAAAGUUGAUGUGCUUAUUAGAAAUUAAAAUAUAUAUAUUCUUCGUUCUAUUGGCGCUCCCAGAUAUUGUUCCUUCUCUCUGCGUUCUUUUUUUCCCAAAAUCCCUCCACUCCUCACUCUCCUUCUCCCCUUCUCCUGCUCCAUCAAUUCUCUAUGCGUAGAGAAAGAACAAAGUAAAAUAAUAGCCACAAAAGCAGAUCACGUGCCCCACCGCUCCAGCCUCUUUCACUCCUUAAUAAUUCCCUCUCCACCACGGCUGUCAAUGGUGAACAACCAGUGAAGAAGAACUCAUCGUCAUCAGCAGUAGAAGUAAACCUAUUAGUACGUCAAAAUAAGGAUACCAACAAGCAAAAAGUGCAGGGAAAGAAUCAAAAGAGGAGGUUGGCAAGUAAUAAAAUGAUUACAAAACUAGAACUAGUGCUACUGGCAAUGGCUCUUGGUGGCUGCGUAUCAAAAGUGAAUUCGUUGUUUGAUUGGAAAAAUUGGAGAAGAGACUUGAGGAAAAGGAGAGUGAAGAGUUAAGAAGGGCAGUGGAUAAUGUUUUGGGCUGCAGAGUGUUGAAUUUUUUUAUUUUUUAUUUAUUUAUUUUUUGGCGGGGGAGAGGGGGUGGAAGUCAUAGAAAAAGAAGUUGAAAGAAGAAGGUGAUCCCUAGAAAUCAAUUUUAAAGUCUAAUUCUCAGAAACAAACUUUAAAGUAGACUUCUCAGAAAUCAAUUUCGUUAUCCUGGGAUUACAAAUAAAACCAACAACAUUUCUUUAAUUUGCAAUAAGAAUAUCAAUAUUUGGAUAAUAACCCAAAUAAUAAUAAUAAUCAUGAUAUGUGGUAGAUUAUUUCCUCACCAAAUAAGAAACCUGAUCACCGAAAAGGGCAUAAUCUGUCAUAUCUUUUAACAGUUUUAUUCAAAUUCUAGCAGAAUUAACAUUCAAAACUCUAGCAGUUUGACCCAUGGAAUCCAUAAUUCAGCAGAAGUGAGCUUCGCAAGACAGUCGAAGUGUUAUUUGAAAAUGAACUUCUCUAGAUCAUCACGUUGAAUCAAAAGCAACUUAUCCAUCACAUUCAAAAUACAAGCAAUCACUCUCCUUAAAUAAUUAUUGCUUAAAGUUCUCAAAGAACUCUUUUAAAAAAGACCAGUUAUUGUGAUCCAAAAAAAAAAUUCUUGGAAGACACAAAUAUCCAUGAUAUGAAUUAUUAGAAUCUACAAGCUACCAGAUAGCAAUCAGAGUUAAAUCAUUUCAAAAGGCAUAAACAACAGGAACUCAGACCCAAAUUCAUCAUUCUAGCAUAUCAUGGUGAAGCCAACUUUCUGCACCAUAAGCAGAGCAAUUAAUUAUAACAUGCUAUUUACAUAGUGGUGGUAAAUAAUAAGGAAAGAAAGUGAUGCUAUUGCACUCUCACGAUCACAUUCUCAUGCAGUGUAGCUCCAAAUAUUCUAUCUCACCAAAGAAUUUAAGCUCUGGGCAAACAUGUUCACCCCAUGUCUUAAUCACCUCGUCUCUAUCUUUGAAGGUGGGGAACCUUCUCUGUUAUUUAGUUUGUACAAACAAACAGAGAAUCUGACAAUGUAUACAGAAUUGACUCUUUGAAUAACUAACAACUAUGAUAAAUAAGCUACAUAAACACAGCCCUCCACAGCUCGAAUCAAAUACCAGCUUUCUCAUGAUUAAUAGUCAUUAGUUCAGUUCCAAAAUCCCAGGUUCACAACAGAACUACUGACACUCUUUCCACUCCAAAAGGCUAUCCUAACCUGAAAUUUUGAAACACAUACACUACUACUAAAUCACGACGGUUAAAUUCAUGGCAUAAUGAGCUUCGAAAAUCUGACUGCUUUACAUCACCCUCUCUCUCUCUCUGUUUAAGAACCUUCCAACUAAUAGUUUCUUUUCUUUUAUUUUUUCCCUCAUACAACAUCGUAUUCUUAAUUAAACACGAAGCACUUGCUGGAGCUCUAUUUGACAGAGUAGGAAAAAGCAUGACAGGCUAAAGCAAACUAUUAGCUCAUCUAAAUUACAAAUCUAAUACUACUGGAAUCUCAAACCCGCAACAUCACACUCAAAUUACUAGUAAUCGAAAUAGAACGAAAUAAAAGAAAUACCAGAGAAUUACACAAAAAUCAUUUCAGAUCACACAACUAAACCUUCAUUCGCAGUUUUCACACACAAGCAACAGCAAACAACUUCACUAAAUCUGAAAUGAAUAACGGCUAAUAUAAGAUAUCUACAAGUACCUUUCUUGGCCGGCGGUGUCCCAAAUCUGAGCUUUGACGGUUUUGUGAUCGAUUACGACAGUCCGCGUCUGGAAUUCGACCCCGAUUGUGGCCUUGGAAUCGAGACUAAACUCGUUUCUGGAGAACCGAGCUAGCAGCUGCGACUUGCCGACGGAAGAGUCCCCAAUCAGUACUAUUUUGAACACAUAAUCAAUUUUCUGAUUCAGAUUUGCUCCACCACCUCCGCCGUACAAAUUCGACAUCUUCCUCUUUCUCCUGCUCCUGCUCCCGCUCCUCCUUACUCUUGAUCAACAAAACUAUACCAAAUACUGCUAAAAGAAAAGAAGUAAAAAGGGAGGUUUAGGAUUUAAGGGAGAGACGACCGGAACAGUUUCGAGAAGGAAACAAAUGGGAAAUGGAGAAAGCAGAGCAGAUGACUAUUUUUUAUUUAUUUUGUGAUUAAAUCGGGGUUGACUCAGUAGUGAGUAGACGAGUUGAACAUGGCUGAUGGCUCAUCCUUUUUACCUUCUUUUGUUUUUCUUUUGUUGGUAACGAAAACGGCUUUUCUGCGCGCCACCAAGCUGUUUUUUAUUUGUCUCCUUUUUUCCCAUUUAAUUAUAUUCUUCUUUUAAUUAUAUUCUUUUCUUUGUUAUUUGUAAGGUAUACAAAUGAACAGUCGACACAUGUUGACUCAGUUGAUAAAUACAGAUCAUUUAGAUAAUAUAAAUUACUUGUGCUACUUGUGAUUUCGAGAAUAUAUUUUAAUUCAUGGUGAUGAUCAAAAUUAAAACUAUACAAGCUUUUUCUACACCAUAAAAAAAAAAAAAAAAACAGAGAGAGAGAGAAUGAAGGCCUACACUUGAAUGUUUAAUUUGAUUGUUUGGUUCACAAAUUUGAAAGUGCAUUCACUGUUGGCUUGCCCGAAUUGGAGUGCAAUUUCAGUGAGUUUCUUUAGAAUACAUUCUGGAUAACUUGAAGUUUUUACAUAUAUUUUCUAAAGCUAUAUGUUUAUUGAAUUGAGACCUUGUUUGGGACUUGAGUUUUUUUUUAUCAAAUUUGUCUGCUACUAGUUUUUUAACAACUUUAACUACAGUAAUUCAAAAAAACUUAUCAAAUUUUUUAACCUACAUACUUUAAAAUCUAAUACACAAAAAACUUUCUUUUUUAUUCUUCUUUCUCCCCCGAUCCACCACCACCUUCAUCGCCGGCCUUCCCUUUUUUUUUUUUCUUUCCUUUUUCCCUCUCCCCCUCUCCUACCCUCCCCUUCCCCCUUUAACCGAUAUGUUGGUGCUCCCAUCUCUUUUCUUUUUUUUUUCUAUCCCUCCCCCUCUCCUCCGCCACCCUCCCCUUUCCCCUAGCUGCGAUCUGGUCGCGCAACCAGAUCGCAGCCAGUCGCACGACCAAACCACAUCUGCGAGCUGGUCAAAUGACCAGAUUGGGCAAAGGGGGAGGGGGAAGGGGAGGAGAGGGGAGCAGAGAGGGAGAAGAGGGGAAGAGAAAAGGAAAAAAAAAAUUUGGACCAUGGCUGCUAGUUCUUCAACAUCGGAGGCAAAGGUGGCGGGCGAGGGGGAAGGAAGAAGAAGAAGAAGAGAGGAAAGAAAAGAAAAAGGAAAGAAAGAGAAAGAGAAAACGAAAGAAAAAAUAGAAAAGAAAAAAAAAGUUUUUCAUUUUAAAAAAUUUUUCCAAAAAUUUCUACAGUAAGUUAUAGUAAAGUUUUAGAUAAAUAUCUAAAAAAUUUACUUGCCAAACGAGGUCUGAAUUUGAGUCAAAUUUAAAAAGUUUAACGUCAAAACUAGUUCAUGUGCGAGUGAUUGGAUUAUUUGGCCAACCAAAAGUAAACAACACUUACUUAGUCAAGUUUAUUUUAUAUAUUGAAUGGUCUGAAUCCUAUUUAGUGUUUUUCCCAUGGUUCUUAACUGUUUCUGAUUGUAUAAAAGUUGAUUUUAAAAUAUUAGAAUCAAAAGGCACCAAAAUAGAAUCUUCAGAUUUUUUUUAAAUUUAAAAAAACCUAAAUCAAGAUAUGACAAAUAAUUUAGAACAUAAUAAAAUAAUUUUUUUUUAAAAAAAAUCAGAAUCUUAAAUCACAUAUUUUAAAAAUCAAUUGAGGACAAGACCAUAUGAAUUCCAUGAAUAUUCCAAAAAGGAUUUUGUACACCCCACUUGAGCUUGUCUACUUGAUGACAAUUCUCCGUCAUUCUGAACAAAUUAAAGUUGUGAUAAUUCGAUUCCAGGUUGGUAGGGCUUAAUAGUGUUGAUAUUUAAAAUUUUAUGAAUGCUUAUAAGAAAUAGUUCUGCUGCAUAAUGAUGGUAAUUCAAAAUAAAGCUAGAUAUCCUUGAAAAAUGUACGAAGAUAUGAUGAUAAAGUGUUGUGUCUUUGAUGUUGAGUUGUUGACUUACAAAAAAAGUGUUGAACGAAAAAGACUAGCUAGGUAACCCUUUUACUUUCAAAACUCGUAUUGAACUCAUGUUGUAUUUGCAAUUUAUUUAUUUUUUGUUUGUCUAAUACUAUGUUUUACCAAAUUUCUUCAGCUUUUCUCCCUAUUUAUUUAUGAAGCUAACAAAAAGAAAAUAAUUAAUUGAUGUCAUAUAUCGAAAACUCGAAUAAAAGAAAGUAAUGCUGGUAAAAGAGAACAUAUCAAAAUCAAUUGGGUUUGUUUGGAUUGAGCAUUAUUUCUCCAAUUUUAUUUGGUUGCAUCAUCAUUACAAUUUUCAAUACAUCUUUUUAUUUUCUCAAUUAUCUUUUUAUCUCACAUACGUCACGUCACAACAAGUGCUACAGUAAAAAUAUCCCAAAUAACUUACAAUCCAAAAAUAAAUAAAUAGUCUCCUGGCUUUGAAUGUAGAGUAGGGCUAAUUCCCAAUGCGGUGGGAUUAGUAUAUUUAUAUUAGCCCUAUACGAGUAGAGUUUUGUAAACUUGGCCUUUAAAUUAUAAAGUUGUGUUAAUUACAUGGUUGGGAAAGAGUUCGAGUUUUUAGCAUUUUCAAUAUUCAUUUCAAUUUUUUUUUAUGUAACACAAGAAAUUUUAUUAGUGGACUAGACUGCAAUCAGCUUGCAUAAGAUGAUUAACAAAAUAAAGUAGAUGGAUAGUGAUUUUCGGGCGCGGCUGUCCCGUUCUACAAAAGCUCUCUUUCACCAUAAAUCAAAUUCAAGUCGAGCUCGAAUUUUAAAAAAUAAAAAAAAUUAUAAAAAUAUUAAUAAAUAAUAAUUUUUAUUAAUAAAUAAUAAAAUAUUAUAAUUAUAUAUAUAAUUUUACUAUUAAAAUAAAAAAUAAAAGAUUAUAUAAAAUUGAGUCGGUUCGCGAGUUAAUGAGUUAAGAAUUUUUGAACUCGAACUCGACUCGAGUUCAAUGUUAACCAAACUUGAGUCAAACUUUGAAUCGAGUUAUUUGCGAUCAACUCGAAGCCGCUUGACUGCCGUGCAACCUUAAGAGUGACUAGAUAAAUUUGGUUUUUUCCUAUAAGAGGGAGCUAUCUCUGUAGUUUUUAGUUUUCCUUUUUUCAAUCAAGUCUUUUAUAUGGUUCUUUUAAUGAAAAAUUCUUCUCUCCUAAGAUCUCACAGUAAGAGUUUCUUCCAUCGUAGAUUGUUCUAAUAAGAGCUUUAUUCUCUCAUAGAGUUUUUUCCUUGUGAGAGUUCUUUAAUUUUUUUUGUCAUUUUAUGUUAAAUAUUAGAUUUGGUAGAUUUAGUUUCUUAUAUCUGUAAUUUCUUCAUUUAUCAUUAUCAGAUUUAAAUUUCUUCUUUAAAACUGAAACUAGUUUUUAUUAGACCUAUCUAUUGGGAGACAUGCACAUAUCUAUUGAAUUACAAUGAUUGAUGGAAAGAUAUGUUAGAGUAUCAAUAUUUCGUUUAUUUGCAAUGAUUUUUCAAAUUUGUUUAUUUCAGAUCUUUAUGUAUUUGUAUCAUAUUUGAUUUGAUUUAUCUUCUAUCACAAGUGUAGGUUAUUUGAAUGAAAUGAUCUUCCUAUCAGAAAAAGGUCGCAGCAUUGGAAUAAUUCGAAUAUCUAAGUGGGAAACUAUUUUAAUUAAUCUAUAGAUUGUAAUCUCAAAAUUUUAAGGGCCAAUGUAACAAAAUUGAUUUAUGAGAGGUCUUUAGGUUGGAUCAGCCGUCUGAAGUCAGCUGUGUGAACAAGACUUGGCAUGGUAUUGGUAGGAGCCGGGAGCCCAAGUCCCAUGACUAUCCAAUUGAGAGAAAAGAAAUAGGCCCAUCCCCGAACCCGGAAAAUUGCACCUUGAUGGGUUUAAAAAAAAAUUUCGUCAGAAAUUUUUUACGUUUUCGUAAACACAUUUUUCAAUUAUCUUUUUACCUCACAUGUAUCAAAUCGCUACGAUACAUUUUUUCUUAAAAAAAAAAAAAAACUCUAAAAAAAUAGCGAUCCAAACAAGACCGCUCUCGCAUGGCAUUUUUGGUGGAGAUGCAUCUCUAUAUUAGCCAAUAGCUCACUUUGGAAGUUGGCGAAAGCAAAGGUGAUAAAAAUGAUCUGUUUGCUUCCCAUUCUCAGAUGAAGCUCUGCCAAACGAGAAUGUACAGUUGAAUAGUAUGGAUUGUGGAAUCAAUUGAUGCCAUGUAAGAAGUCAGCAACACGCUUCUUCAGCUGGAGCUCAAAGAAAAAAUCAUUUACACCUGAUUUCCUUGGCCCAUGGAUGUGAUUUUAAUCUUUGGCAAUUUCUUAGCUGCCGAAAAAUAAGGCCUUGUUUUGGUUGAAUUUGUUAUCGAGGAAUUUUUCUAAUUUCUUUUGGUGAUAUUUGCUUUUACAUAUCUCCGUAUCGUAUUUUUAUUUCACAUACACCACAUCUGAACAAAAUAUUACAAUAAUUGGAUACAAAAACUCCCUACAAAAUACAAUCCAAACGGGUUCUAUUAUUGCUACGUUUUCCAUGAACACAUUUUCAAAUAAUCUAAUAACGGCCUUGUUUGGACAGCAAUUUUUCACACAAAACUUACUACAUUUUCCAAUUUUUUUUUUUUUACUUCACAUGUAUCAAAUCGCUACAGUAAUUUUUUUUUUACGAAAAAUCCACAAAAAUGCAAUCCAAACAAGGCGAUGCCGAUCGCCAAUGAGAAGAUGCAAGGAACAAUUCCCAAAAGAUAGCACCAAUAUUUCCUUAAUGAUAUGACAAGUGCGGAUUAGCGUUCAACACAGUCAAAUUUGGCACCCCAGUAAGAAUCUUAGUUGCUAUAUUAACAGUUUUUAAGUCAAAAAGCCCACACACAUUUAUCACCACAAAUCCAAGAUCACAUUUUGCUUUGCACUUAUUGAAUAGACAGCUUAAGCGAAUCAUUUGACUACAAAAGUUGGAUGCUAAGAGAUAUAUAGUCCAAUGAGAGUCUAAAGCAGUAAUGGCUUGUGGGGGGGGGAAUAGCUUACUAUACAUAAGAGAUAUUUUUGUGGGAUGUUCAACUACUUGGACUAAGUGAAGACUAAAUCUGCCUUUCGAAAGGGAUCAUAGCCAACAUACGAUGGUUCUUCAAUCUUACAAUCCAACAAAAAGGAAGAAAAAAGGUCAGCAGUAAUCUUAUCUUUCCUUCAUCUCCA
rnacentral:lncRNA from 1 species